GACGAACGCUGGCGGCAAGCUUAACACAUGCAAGUCGAACGCCGUAGCAAUACGGAGUGGCAGACGGGUGAGUAACACGUGGGAACGUGCCUUUCGGUUCGGAACAACUUAGGGAAACUUCAGCUAAAACCGGAUACGCCCUUCGGGGGAAAGUUUACGCCGAAAGAUCGGCCCGCGUCAGAUUAGGUAGUUGGCGGGGUAAUGGCCCACCAAGCCGAUGAUCUGUAGCUGUUCUGGGAGGAAGAUCAGCCACACUGGGACUGAGACACGGCCCAGACUCCUACGGGAGGCAGCAGUGGGGAAUAUUGGACAAUGGGCGCAAGCCUGAUCCAGCUAUGCCGCGUGGAUGAAGAAGGCCUUCGGGUUGUAAAGUCCUUUCGGCGGGGAAGAUAAUGACGGUACCCGCAGAAGAAGCCCCGGCUAAUUUCGUGCCAGCCGCCGCUGUAAGAC
rnacentral:rRNA from 1 species